rnacentral:rRNA from 1 species
AAAAGGACUAGUUUGGAUUAAAGCAAAAAAAUAAUAAAAAAUAAAGGUGUUUCUUAUCCCACUGAGUGUUCCACGGCGGCGUGCCUCCAUCCCCUCCGGCCUCUCACCCCGACCCCUGCGGCACCGGUGGCCGUAAGUUUCUUCCUCACCUCUUCCCUAGUUAAUUUCUUCCCGAUUUUCCGGAUCCGCGACGUCGAAGGAUUCUUCCUCCCUCGGAUUUCCGCUCAGUCCUCGGAUUUCCCGUCACUCCUCGGAUCUCCCUGCAGUCCAAGUUCCGGCCGGUCUCGGAGACGGGACGGCCUAUAGAUAUAGAUGGAGGAGAGGGCGGAGGAGAUCGAUCUGAGCAAGCCGAGGCUGCGCGCGAUGGGGAAAAAGCUACCCCCUUCUACUCCGACGGCGGGAAGGCGCGCAAAGGUCCCUCCUUGGCCCCGCUCUCCGCCUGCAAGCGCCGGCGGACCCCUGAGGCAAGCGGCUGGGCUUCCCUCCCCACCGAUAUAGUCCACCUUGUCGCCAGCCGCCUGCUGGCCGACGACGUGGUGGACUACAUCGUCUUCCGGGCCGUCUGCUCCGGCUGGCGCAGCUGCACGAGCGACGCGCGCGACCCCACCCUGAGCAGACCGGACCUCUGGCCGCGCGGCUGGGUCGCCCUCUGCGACGGCGACGGGGUACGCCCGGACGACGCCGGCGAGAUCGGCUUCUUCCACACGCGGACGGCCAGGCGCCUCCGCGUCCGCCUGCCGGAGCUCCGGCGCCACAGGAUCAUCGGCUUCACCCAGGGACUGAUCAUUCUUCUGAACAAACGCACCGCCACCGUCCGGGUGCUGCAUCCCUUCACGCGGGUCGUGGUCGACCUCCCGUCCCUCGUCCCCGUGUUCCAUGACGCGGUCAGGAACCGGAGCUCCGUGCUUGACAUGAACGCCGCGGUCUGCAGCGCGUCCGUGACCUCCAUUGCCGUGGUGGCAUGGUUCCCGUGGACCCGGGUGGUGAUCGGCGCCGAGGCUGGCCGCCCCGCUUGGGAGGUCCUCCACCGAGGGCUUUUCCUUAGGAGCAUCUUGCCCUUCCAAGGAAGGCUUUACGCCACCGUCGCCAUGGGUGGCUCAAUGAAGAUCAUACAGCUGUACCCGAGAUCACCCCACCCUGUGCUUGCUCAUGUUCCAAAUGAUUUUGGUGUUCUGGACCUAUGCAGCUACUUCCUCAUGGAGUCCGGUGGGCGAGUGCUGCUUGCCGUCCACCAUUUAACUGCACAAAAUUGUGGCAUGGAGCCCUUCCAGCAAAAUGCCUAUAAGCUCUUUGCGUUGGACAUCGAUCACGGUGAGCUGAUCCCAGUGAACUGCCUCGGUGGCCACGCGCUGUUCCUCAACAGGGAUCGGUGCCUGUCUGUUUCGGCCAGGGACCUCCCAUCUGUCAGCAGCAACUCCAUUUACUUCUCUUUGCACCGUGACCCUGUUGUGGUGCACUCGGUAAGGACAGGUUUCUCUGAGCAGCUAGCAGUGUCAUGCCAAAUACAUGACGGGAAGGAUAGGAUCCGACCCUCCGUGCGCCCUUUCACCAUUGCUGACCAUCUUCUAACCUACUGCCAUCCUCAUGAGUGGACAAAAGGACUCAUGUUUCAUGAGUACCACUCUAUACCUGAAUCUUUCGAGGAAUUGAGGAAGAACAUCAAGGCAAAAGAUUCUGAACUAUGGAUUCCUCGCUUUGCAGUUUGUUGAUCCGAAGAGGAAACAGAGUCACAGCACCUCACACUAGCCAUUGAAUAGUGAAGGUAUAAAUAAUGCCAAUAGACAGUUGAUGCAUAAUUCCCUUGCUCGCUCAGUUGGGAUCUUUGUGUGGCUAGGUCAAUUCCUUGGUGGGUCCCGGCGCAUUGUGCAUGAUCUUUUGAUUUUUUUACCAGCAGUUUGUCUAUGCUAUGCAUAUAUAGUGGUGGUUCUCGACGAUAUCCAGUUGUGCCUGCAAAAGCAUUCAGGCCAUGUUUGUCUCGCCUUGUCACGACGGCAGGAAGGCUCGUCCUCAUUAAGACAGUAAAGCUCCGAAGCUCAUUCAUCACCUGCUAGUCACUGAGGUGCCAUCAGGGUAUUGGGAGCGGUGGAGAAGUGGGAGAGAGCCUUCGUUUGGGCAGGUACUGAUGAAAUCAAUGGCGGGAAAUGCCUUGUGGCAUGGAGUAAGGUUGUUCAGCCAACCUAAACUUAAAGCUCCAGGGGCUUGUGCUUCGCGUGAGCUGGGAGUGGCUAUGUUGUACUGACCCUGGAAAACCAUGGCAGGGAUUGCAAAUUAUUUGAAGAUAUUUCUGCAAGGCUCAAUGGUUAUUUUGUAGAUUGCUGGAUCAAUGGUUAUUCUGUUGCUGAGUUUGUGCUGCUAGUUCUGGAGUUCAUUCGGCUAGCCCUGGUCUGCUGCUGGAGUUCAUUCGGCUAGCUCUGUGCACCGUUUGCUUACUAUCUUCUUCACCGGUGCUGACUGCGCAUGGAGAUGCAGGGCACCCUUAACCUGCAAGAUAAUUGCCUCGCUAGCUUAUACAAUAUCGGCUUUGGACCUGAAUGGGACAACUUGUGAUCAGCAUUUAUGGUCUUAUUUUGACGUUUUUAACCUGUAUAUGAUUCAACCACCGCAUGGUGAGUGCAAAUAAAAAUGUAACUUGUCAUCAUUGAUAUGCACAGAUUUACUCUUGAUCAUUGGUCUCUCUUCC